CAGCUGUAAUCACUACGAGGUCUGGGUUUAUGAACCCCUCCUUCCUCACCUCCCUCUCCUUCAGCUGUAAUCACUACGAGGUCUGGGUUUAUGAACCCCUCCUUCCUCACCUCCCUCUCCUUCAGCUGUAAUCACUACGAGGUCUGGGUUUAUGAACCCCUCCUUCCUCACCUCCCUCUCCUUCAGCUGUAAUCACUACGAGGUCUGGGUUUAUGAACCCCUCCUUCCUCACCUCCCUCUCCUUCAGCUGUAAUCACUACGAGGUCUGGGUUUAUGAACCCCUCCUUCCUCACCUCCCUCUCCUUCAGCUGUAAUCACUACGAGGUCUGGGUUUAUGAACCCCUCCUUCCUCACCUCCCUCUCCUUCAGCUGUAAUCACUACGAGGUCUGGGUUUAUGAACCCCUCCUUCCUCACCUCCCUCUCCUUCAGCUGUAAUCACUACGAGGUCUGGGUUUAUGAACCCCUCCUUCCUCACCUCCCUCUCCUUCAGCUGUAAUCACUACGAGGUCUGGGUUUAUGAACCCCUCCUUCCUCACCUCCCUCUCCUUCAGCUGUAAUCACUACGAGG